GAUGAACGCUGGCGGCGUGCCUAAUACAUGCAAGUCGAGCGAACAGACGAGGAGCUUGCUCCUCUGACGUUAGCGGCGGACGGGUGAGUAACACGUGGAUAACCUACCUAUAAGACUGGGAUAACUUCGGGAAACCGGAGCUAAUACCGGAUAAUAUAUUGAACCGCAUGGUUCAAUAGUGAAAGACGGUUUUGCUGUCACUUAUACAUGGAUCCGCGCCGCAUUAGCUAGUUGGUAAGGUAACGGCUUACCAAGGCCACGAUGCGUAGCCGACCUGAGAGGGUGAUCGGCCACACUGGAACUGAGACACGGUCCAGACUCCUACGGGAGGCAGCAGUAGGGAAUCUUCCGCGAUGGGGGAAAGCUUGAAGGAGCAACGCCGCGUGAGUGAUGAAGGUCUUCGGAUCGUAAAACUCUGUUAUUAGGGAAGAACAAAUGUGUAAGUAACUAUGCGCGUCUUGACGGUACCUAAUCAGAAAGCCACGGCUAACUACGUG
rnacentral:rRNA from 1 species